rnacentral:rRNA from 1 species
GACAGAGGUCCCAAGCGUUAGGCGGAAUCACUGGGCUUAAAGCGUGUGUAGGCGGAUUUGUAAGUACCUUGUGAAAUCCCACGGCUCAACCGUGGAACUGCUUGGUAUACUGCUUAUCUUGGGUCAUCUAGGGGCGAGCGGAACAAACGGUGGAGCGGUGAAAUGCGUAGAUAUCCGGAGGAACGCCGGUGGCGAAGGCGGCUUCCUGGACCGACACUGACGCUGAGGCGCGAAAGCUAGGGGAGCAAACGGG